rnacentral:rRNA from 1 species
AGUGAACGCUGGCGGUAGGCCUAACACAUGCAAGUCGAACGGCAGCACAGUAAGAGCUUGCUCUUACGGGUGGCGAGUGGCGGACGGGUGAGGAAUACAUCGGAAUCUACUUUUUCGUGGGGGAUAACGUAGGGAAACUUACGCUAAUACCGCAUACGACCUACGGGUGAAAGCAGGGGAUCUUCGGACCUUGCGCGUUUGAAUGAGCCGAUGUCGGAUUAGCUAGUUGGCGUGGUAAAGGCCCACCAAGGCGACGAUCCGUAGCUGGUCUGAGAGGAUGAUCAGCCACACUGGAACUGAGACACGGUCCAGACUCCUACGGGAGGCAGCAGUGGGGAAUAUUGGACAAUGGGCGCAAGCCUGAUGCAGCCAUACCGCGUGGGUGAAGAAGGCCUUCGGGUUGUAAAGCCCUUUUGUUGGGAAAGAAAAGCAGCAGGUUAAUACCCCGCUGUUCUGACGGUACCCAAAGAAUAAGCACCGGCUAACUUCGUG